rnacentral:rRNA from 1 species
UGGCCAGACUCCUACGGGAGGCAGCAGUGGGGGAUAUUGCACAAUGGGGGCAACCCUGAUGCAGCGACGCCGCGUGAGCGAUGGAGUACUUCGGUAUGUAAAGCUCUGUCAGCAGGGAAGAGAAUGACGGUACCUGACCAAGAAGCCCCGGCUAAAUACGUGCCAGCAGCCGCGGUAAUACGUAUGGGGCAAGCGUUAUCCGGAUUUACUGGGUGUAAAGGGAGCGUAGGCGGCAGGGCAAGCCUGAUGUGAAAGCCCGGGGCCCAACCCCGGGACUGCUCUGGAAACUGCGUCGCUGGAGUACGGGAGGGGCAGGCGGAAUCCCUGGUGUAGCGGUGAAAUGCGUAGAUAUCAGGAGGAACACCGGCGGCGAAGGCGGCCUGCUGGACCGUGACUGACGUUGAGGCUCGAGAGCGUGGGGAGCAAACAGGAUUAGAUACCCCUGUAUAG